AUUGGAUCCAUAGGGCAAGUGCAUAAAGAUUUAAAAAAAAAAAAAAGUGGGAAGAGACAGUGACACCAGGAGAGGUCCAAGGACAAAACCUUGGGGAAACGUGACACGUAGAAGUUAGGCAGAGAAAUAAAUCAGAAAGGGAAAGUGAAUAGUGACCAGAGGGAAAGGAGACCUGGAGAGAGCUGGUGGGGGGGGGGGNUCCCAGAGAUGUCAGGAAACAAUGUUUAGGAAGCAGGAGGGGAGUGCUCAAUUGUGUCAGAGUCUAAGACGAUUUCUAUCAUACCCACCAAGAGUUUCAUAGUGAAGUGAACCUGACUUUGCCUCCGAGCUUUGGGUAGGAGUAGCAACUGACACAACCUCUCCAAGAUUCCGAUCCAACUUCCUUUAAUUGGAGAAGAGCACUUAUCUCUUUCUCACAGGGCUAAAAUGCUUCACCUGGUGCUGACUGCAGAAAGCCCUCACCAAUGAUACCACCACCACUAUCAGGGAAAAUGAGAGAUGUGAUACACAAUUGUUCAAAAUACAGAGAUGCCUACUCUGAAAAAAUAAAGUCAUAAGAUUCUGCAGCAUUUAAUACUUUAAAGACAGAAGAUUGUGUGACUUCAAAAACAGUGAAAUUAUAGAUACCUGGAAAUGAGCAGCCUUUGUGUUGGAAGACAGGUAACUGGAAAUCAGAAGCUUUACGUACGGCUGGGUGAGGGACUUUAAAAUGAACAAAAACGAUGUUCAAACAAAGGGAUCUUGAGGACGCCUGUAUAAACAACAUCUUUACUUUAUGGAGAGGCCGAAUGUCUUAUGCAGAUCCCAUGGGUCCGUUUAUGUAUUUUCUUCAAAUCAAAAUCUCUACAGAAAAGUGAAUUCAGGUUUCUGAGUAUCAGAAGAUGAAAAAACAGCAGAGCCUUAGAAAUAGAUUUCAUCCAACUGUUUUAGGAUGUCAAGAAUUAGGCAGAAGUCUGAUCAAGGUGACUUCACUACCCUUAUCAUCAGCAAUUCCUUAAGUGGAAGGAAAACAAGUUGAUGAGAAAAAGUAGAAAAUCUAUUUCUUCUUUUCUACAGAAAAUCUUUUCAGGGUGUUAGGUUUAUUUCCCCUCUUCCUUGUAUAUGUACAGUCCAGCAUUGAAAAUAAACCUUACUGAGGAUAUUGACUUCUUUAUUCA
rnacentral:lncRNA from 1 species